UGGACUCCGUUGUACGCUUUUUGCCGCCUACUUCCGGGGUAUGCAGCCUCGCGUAGUUCCAAAAAGCCAUUCUAUGGCGUUGGACAUCAUUCACUUCCAUUGCUGACUGUCGAGUAACUUCUGAGGUUGUAUCUGCUGAACCUGGCGGUGUUAGCUAGUCAGCUGAGUACUGUGUAUCUGAUGCUAGUAGAAAUAAGGUUUGUUUAAUUACACCCUUGAAAGGGCUGUUGGAUUGCAUGUAAGAAUACAAAUUAUUUUACACAAAAAAUUAUCAUAAGCCAUAAUGAGCUUUAAAAUGUUUAUUACUCAGACAGUAGUGUGACUAAUUUGUUUCUGUUGCUGGUCCCGGUCAUUUGCAGGUUUUUGCGGCUGACCAUUGUCAUCCAUAUUUUCAUGCGAUCUUUGUCCUUGGGGAAGCCAUACAUGCGGUAACCCUUCUCGGACCGAUUGGUGCAUCCAAAUGCUGCACAGCCAACCAUGUGUCCAGGACACAGAUGAAGA